rnacentral:rRNA from 1 species
ACGAACGCUGGCGGCGUGCUUAACACAUGCAAGUCGAACGGAAAGGCCCCUUUGGGGGUACUCGAGUGGCGAACGGGUGAGUAACACGUGAGUAACCUGCCCUUGACUUCGGGAUAACUUCAGGAAACUGGGGCUAAUACCGGAUAGGAAUCCUUGCUGCAUGGUGGGGGUUGGAAAGCUUCGGCGGUUUUGGAUGGACUCGCGGCUUAUCAGCUUGUUGGUGGGGUAGUGGCUUACCAAGGCUUUGACGGGUAGCCGGCCUGAGAGGGCGACCGGCCACAUUGGGACUGAGAUACGGCCCAGACUCCUACGGGAGGCAGCGGUGGGGAAUAUUGCACAAUGGGCGGAAGCCUGAUGCAGCAACGCCGCGUGCGGGAUGACGGCCUUCGGGUUGGAAACCGCUUUCAGCAGGGGCGAAGCUUGUGGUGACGGUACCUGCAGAAGAAGCACCGGCUAACUACGUG